rnacentral:rRNA from 1 species
GGUCAGGCUGAAGACCUUACCCGAUUAGCUGAGAGGUGGUGCAUGGCCGUCGUCAGUUCGUACUGUGAAGCAUCCUGUUAAGUCAGGCAACGAGCGAGACCCACGUCCACAGUUGCCAGCAUACCCUCCGGGGUGAUGGGUACACUGUGGAGACCGCCGCUGCUAAAGCGGAGGAAGGAGUGGGCAACGGUAGGUCAGUAUGCCCCGAAUCUCCCGGGCUACACGCGGGCUACAAUGGUUGGUACAAUGGGCAUCUACCCCGAAAGGGGAAGGAAAUCUCUUAAAGCCAAUCGUAGUUCGGAUUGAGGGCUGCAACUCGCCCUCAUGAAGCUGGAAUCCGUAGUAAUCGCGUUUCAACAGAACGCGGGGAAUACGUCCCUGCUCCUU